CCUACGGGGGGCAGCAGUGAGGAAUAUUGGUCAAUGGGCGAGAGCCUGAACCAGCCAAGUCGCGUGAAGGAUGAAGGAUCUAUGGUUUGUAAACUUCUUUUAUAUGGGAGUAAAGUGAGGAACGUGUUCCUUUUUGUAUGUACCAUAUGCAUAAGCAUCGGCUAACUCCGUGCCAGCAGCCGCGGUAAUACGGAGGAUGCGAGCGUUAUCCGGAUUUAUUGGGUUUAAGGGGUGCGUAGGUGGUUCAUUAAGUCAGCGGUGAAAGGUUGUGGCUCAACCAUAAAAUUGCCGUUGAAACUGGUUGACUUGAGUAUAUUUGAGGUAGGCGGAAUGCGUGGUGUAGCGGUGAAAUGCAUAGAUAUAACGCAGAACUCCGAUUGCGAAGGCAGCUUACUAAACUAUAACUGACACUGAAGCACGAAAGCGUGGGGAUCAAACAGGAUUAGAUACCCUUGUAGUC
rnacentral:rRNA from 1 species